ACCGCGUGAGUGAUGAAGGCUCUUGGGUCGUAAAGCUCUGUCAGAGGGGAAGAACCUCCUAACGUAUAAUACACGUUAGGCCUGACGGUACCCUCAGAGGAAGCACCGGCUAACUCCGUGCCAGCAGCCGCGGUAAUAAUCACU
rnacentral:rRNA from 1 species